rnacentral:rRNA from 1 species
UACGUAGGGUGCGAGCGUUAAUCGGAAUUACUGGGCGUAAAGCGUGCGCAGGCGGUUCGUUGUGUCUGAUGUGAAAUCCCCGGGCUCAACCCGGGAACUGCAUUGGAAACUGGCGGACUUGAGUGUGGCAGAGGGGGGUGGAAUUCCGCGUGUAGCAGUGAAAUGCGUAGAGAUGCGGAGGAACACCGAUGGCGAAGGCAGCCCCCUGGGCCGACACUGACGCUCAGGCACGAAAGCGUGGGGAGCAAACAGG